AUGUAUUCAAUAUAAACUCAUCAUAGAUACAAGGAUCACCGGUAAACAGGAUAGCACAUCCAAACUUCCAUUUGAAGGAAGUAUGAUACACAAAGGAUUGAAACUUAUCUCGCAUAAUGCCACUCAAGGAUCCAUGCAAGUAGUUUCGAGCAUACUUUUCAGCAUAAGUCUAGGUAGCAGGAUAUUCUCCGCAAACGAAUCAUCUUAUUUUACAUCUUCAUUCGAAAAAGAUAUAAUAUACGUAUGUACAAAUGUAUGUUCCCUCGACAACAAAACAAACGCCCCGUCAGCAUUGUUAUAAUUUUAAUUAGAAGAAGGUCAAGCGACCAUAUUAUAUCAAAUAUAUAAGCUUUUGAAUAACGUAACGUUAGAAAAAAGUAAAAUUAGAAAAUACAAAAAAAAAAAACUCCAAGGACAAUUCAAACCGGAAAAUCCAUUAUCAAUAGGCAAAAUCAAAAGUUCGAUCACAUCACAUCAAACGAAUGGAAAACAACUGUCACAAAAAUUACAGGUGUUAUCAUGCAUUGGGGCAUUGUCUGUGACUAUCUAUCACAGUUAUUCUAACAAAAGAAAACAAGAGGAAACGAUGGUUAAACUGGAACAAAAAUUGAUGGCUGUAUUAAAAAGACUGCAAACGAUAACAUUGAAUGAGUUUAUAAGCAACGAGAAGAAACUUGUGUAUGAACAAGCGGAGACUAUAGAAAAUGAGAUGGCGACGUUUGCUGAAUUAAUACAAAAAGAAAAGCAAACAUUAACUGAAUUGGUAGGACAAAGAAAUAAUAUCUUAACUGAACAUUCCGAAACGAUAUCAAUGGAGAAGAGGGCGGUUCUGCACUUCAUCACACGAGAUAGGAACACACUAGACGAGCUAGCUGUAUGGAUGAAAAAGGAGGGGAAAACAUCAACCGAAGUUAUAAGAAACGAUACUGAAACGUAUUUGACCAAUCUGCAAAGAUGAACAAAGAUAAGGAAAACUUUUAAUGAAUGUAUAGUAAAAGAGAAGAACACGUUAACCAAAUUUGUAGAAAAAGAGAAAGUAACGCUAACCAAAUUGUUAGAAAAAGAGAAGGUAACGCUUACCGAAUUGAUAGAAAAAGACAAGUCAAAGCUAACUGAAUUGACCAGAGAAGGGGAGAUACAUUCAACUGAACAAACGCUGAAUGCACAGGCUGCAUGGAUAGAGGAAAUGAAGGAGACGUUUACAGAAUCGAUAAGAAAAGGGAAGGAAACUUUAUUUGACCAAUCUGUACAUACGAAAAAAGAGUUAAAUACAUUAAAUGAAGAGGCAGCCUAGAUAAAAAAAGAAAACGUAACUUUAACUGAUUUCAUAGAGAAAGAAAAGGACAAGCUGAUCAAAUAUGCUGAAAGGAUAGAACGAGUGAAGGAUGACUGGGUUAAAUCAGUCAAACAAGCGAAGGAAAAAUUGUCUGAAAACGCUGUUAAGAUGGAAAAAGAGACCGAAAUCUUAAUCAAUCAAACUCUAAGGAUACAAAAGUGAAGGAUAGUUGGGUUGAAUUGGUAAUAAAAAAGGAAAACAAGUUAAAUGAACAAACUGCACAGAUAGAAAAAGAGAUAAAAACGUUAAUUGCAAAACCUAAAAGGACAGAACAUAAUGACUAAAAUCUAUGCAUGAAUUGAUAUGAAGAUGGAAAAACAGAUAUACCUAAGCUGAACACAUUUCAACUGAUAUCAUUCCCAUUUGAGUUUAGAGCCUUCGUUUGCUCUUUCUUUAAUAUACAGGUGUAUCAUUUUCAUUUUUCAAUGUAUGUGUUGUUUCUACAGAUGACAGUUUUGUUAAUCCGUUGUACAGAAAAAUGUUAAAACGUGUUAAUUUCUCACUCGGUAAAGUUCAGAAAUAGAACAUUUACGUGAUAGAUAGUUUAUAAAUUAUCUGAUGCCUUAUGGGUAUAUCAAAGUCAAUUGCAAAUUUUAAAUGUGUUUGCCUCCUAAUUUUAUAUAAAUAUACAGUUGAACCUUGGUAAAUCUACCUCGAAAGAACCUGUCAGUACUAUUGACCUGUCCAAGAUGGCAAUCUACAUCAUGUUUACCGUCAUUUCAAUGUUGAAAUAUGGAUUUGUUAACCUGGUACGUUAAUGUGAAAUAUAUAUUUUAUUUUCCAUUUUAUGCAAAUUGAUAGCACUCUUAAUAACAAUUAUCUUAAUUUCAUAAAAUCUAGCUAAUUAACCAUAUUACACAAGAUCAGGAAAAAACAAAAUAGAAGUAAUUAUCGGACCGAAACUAAUCUGUGACGAUGAAAGUAUUACACUCCCUCCUUGAUACUUAUUAACUACUGUUUGUUAAUUUCGAGUCUAUUUGUAUUAAUAAUUUAUUUGAAUAAAAGAUAGUUUGCAGUCUU